rnacentral:rRNA from 1 species
GCACGAAGCGGUGGAGCUAUGUGGUUUAAUUCGAAGCAACGCGAAGAACCUUACCAGGUCUUGACAUUCCGAUGCUAUUUCUAGAGAUAGAAAGUUACUUCGGUACAUCGGUGACAGGUGGUGCAUGGUUGUCGUCAGCUCGUGUCGUGAGAUGUUGGGUUAAGUCCCGCAACGAGCGCAACCCCUAUUGUUAGUUGCCAUCAUUCAGUUGGGCACUCUAGCGAGACUGCCGGUAAUAAACCGGAGGAAGGUGGGGAUGACGUCAAAUCAUCAUGCCCCUUAUGACCUGGGCUACACACGUGCUACAAUGGUUGGUACAACGAGUUGCGAGUCGGUGACGGCGAGCUAAUCUCUUAAAGCCAAUCUCAGUUCGGAUUGUAGGCUGCAACUCGCCUACAUGAAGUCGGAAUCGCUAGUAAUCGCGGAUCAGCACGCCGCGGUGAAUACGUUCCCGGGCCUU